rnacentral:rRNA from 1 species
ACAGUGAGGGGGGGCUACCAUGCAGUCGAGCGAGAAAGGGGGGCAACUCCCUGAGUACAGCGGCGCACGGGUGAGUAACGCGUAGGUAACCUACCUCAGAGUCCGGGAUAACCCAUCGAAAGGUGGGCUAAUACCGGAUACGCCCACGAGGGUCUGCUCUCGUGGUGAAAGAUGGCCUCUGCUUGCAAGCUAUAGCUCCGGGAUGGGCCUGCGCGCCAUUAGCUAGUUGGUGGGGUAAUGGCCCACCAAGGCAAUGAUGGCUAGCUGGUCUGAGAUGAUGACCAGCCACACUGGGACUGGAACACGGCCCAGACUCCUACGGGAGGCAGCAGUGGGGGAUAUUGCGCAAUGGGCGAAAGCCUGACGCAGCGACGCCGCGUGGGUGAUGAAGGUCUUCGGAUCGUAAAGCCCUGUCGGGAGGGAAGAACCGAUCGCGAUCGAACAGGCCGCGAUCCUGACGGUACCUCCAAAGGAAGCACCGGCUAACUCCGUGCCAGCAGCCGCGGUAAUACGGAGGGUGCGAGCGUUGUUCGGAAUCACUGGGCGUAAAGCGCGUGUAGGCGGCUCGGUAAGUCUGGUGUGAAAGCCCGGGGCUCACCCCCGGAAGGGCACUGGAAACUGCCGAGCUCGAGUCCCGGAGAGGAGGGUGGAAUUCCUGGUGUAGCGGUGAAAUGCGUAGAUAUCAGGAGGAACACCGGAGGCGAAGGCGGCCCUCUGGACGGUGACUGACGCUGAGACGCGAAAGCGUGGGGAGCAAACAGGAUUAGAUACCCUGGUAGUCCACGCCGUAAACGAUGAGCACUAGGUGUCGUGGGUACUGACCCCCGCGGUGCCGUCGCUAACGCGUUAAGUGCUCCGCCUGGGGACUACGGCCGCAAGGCUAAAACUCAAAGGAAUUGACGG